AACGAACGCUGGCGGCAUGGUUAGACAUGCAAGUCGAGCGCGAAAGUUUCCUUCGGGAAGCGAGUAGAGCGGCGGAAGGGCGAGUAAUGCAUGGGAACGUACCUCUUGCACGGGGAUAGCUCACCGAAAGGUGGGGUAAUACCCGAUGAUACCGCAACGGCAAAGGUGGGGACCCCUUCGGGGGCCUCCCGGCGAGAGAGCGGCCCAUGUCCUAUCAGCUUGUUGGUGAGGUAAUGGCUCACCAAGGCUACGACGGGUACCGGGACUGAGAGGUUGACCCGGCGCAUUGGGACUGAGACACUGCCCAGACUCCUACGGGAGGCUGCAGUAACGAAUAUUCCACAAUGGACGAAAGUCUGAUGGAGCAAUGCCGCGUGUGGGACGAAGCACUUCGGUGUGUAAACCACUGUCAGGGACUACCAAGUAAUAGAGGCUAAUAUCCUCUUGCGUUGAGGAGUCCCACAGGAAGCCACGGCUAACUUCGUGCCAGCAGCCGCGGUAAUACGAAGGUGGCUAGCGUUGUUCGGAAUCACUGGGCUUAAAGCGCAUGUAGGCGGCUGUGCAAGCGUCGGGUAAAAUCCCUCGGCUCAACCGAGGAACGGCUCGGCGAACUGCACAGCUUGAGGCAGGUAGGGGUGUAUGGAACUCUUGGUGGAGCGGUGAAAUGCGUAGAUAUCAAGAGGAACGCCGGAGGCGAAAGCGAUACACUGGGCCUGUCCUGACGCUGAGAUGCGAAGGCUAGGGUAGCGAACGGGAUUAGAUACCCCGGUAGUCCUAGCUGUAAACGAUGCCUACUAGGUCGGAGGCCUUCUGACAGGUUUCCGGUCGUAACUAAAGCGAUAAGUAGGCCGCCUGGGGAGUACGGUCGCAAGGCUAAAACUCAAAGGAAUUGACGGGGGCCCGCACAAGCGGUGGAGUAUGUGGUUUAAUUCGACGCAACGCGCAGAACCUUACCCGGCCUUGACAUCGAGGGAAAGCCUUUAGAAAUAAAGGCCCUCCCCUUCGGGGGACCCAAAGACAGGUGCUGCAUGGCUGUCGUCAACUCGUGUCGUGAGAUGUUGGGUUAAGUCCCGCAACGAGCGCAACCCCUAUCCGUUAGUUGCCAGCGAGUAAUGUCGGGCACUCUAGCGAGACUGCCGUCGUCAAGACGGAGGAAGGCGGGGAUGACGUCAAUUCCUCAUGGCCCUUAUGGUCGGGGCUACACACGUACUACAAUGGGCGGUACAGAGCGCAGCGAACUCGCGAGAGUAAGCGAAUCGCAGAAAACCGUCCUUAGUUCGGAUUGCAGUCUGCAACUCGACUGCAUGAAGUCGGAAUCGCUAGUAAUCGCGGAUCAGCAUGCCGCGGUGAAUCCGUUCCCGGGCCUUGUACACACGCCCGUCACACCAUGGGAGUGGAUUGCACCAGAAGUGGGUGAGCUAACCUUCG
rnacentral:rRNA from 1 species